AGCAGCCGCGGUAAUUCCAGCUCCAAUAGCGUAUAUUAAGGUUGUUGCAGUUAAAAAGCUCGUAGUUGAAUUUCGGGAUCAAAGGAUCGGUCAUGCCUUGGUAUGUACUGGUUUUAUUGGUUCUCACCUUCUAAAGAACCAUAAUGUCAUUCAUUUGAUGUUAUGGGGAAUUAGGACUGUUACCUUGAAAAAAUUUAGAGUGUUUAAAGCAGGCUUACGCUUGAAUACAUUAGCAUGGAAUAAUGAAAUAGGACAUCAGAUUCUAUUUUGUUGGUUUCUAGGAUCGAUGUAAUGAUUAAUAGGGAUAGUUGGGGGCAUUAGUAUUCAAUCGUCAGAGGUGAAAUUCUUGGAUUUAUUGAAGACUAACUACUGCGAAAGCAUUUGCCAAGGAUGUUUUCAUUAAUCAAGAACGAAAGUUAGGGGAUCGAAGACGAUCAGAUACCGUCGUAGUCUUAACCAUAAACUAUGCCGACUAGGGAUCGGAUGAUGUUAAUUUUAUAAUGACUCA
rnacentral:rRNA from 1 species